CGAAAUGCGAUAAGUAAUGUGAAUUGCAGAAUUCAGUGAAUCAUCGAAUCUUUGAACGCACCUUGCGCUCCUUGGUAUUCCUUGGAGCAUGCCUGUUUGAGUAUCAUGAAGUCUUCAAAGUAAAUCUUUUGUUAACUCAAUUGGUUUCUACUUUGGUAUUGGAGGUCUUUGCAGCUUCACACCUGCUCCUCUUUGUUCAUUAGCUGGAUCUCAGUGUUAUGCUUGGUUCCACUCGGCGUGAUAAGUUAUCUAUCGCUGAGGACACUGUAAAAGGUGGCCAAGGUAAAUGCAGAUGAACCGCUUCUAAUAGUCCAUUGACUUGGACAAUACUUUUAUGAUCUGAUCUCAAAACAGGUAGGACUACCCGCUGAACUUAAGC
rnacentral:misc_RNA from 1 species